rnacentral:rRNA from 1 species
CUACGUGCCAGCAGCCGCGGUAAUACGUAGGUCCCGAGCGUUGUCCGGAUUUAUUGGGCGUAAAGCGAGCGCAGGCGGUUAGAUAAGUCUGAAGUUAAAGGCUGUGGCUUAACCAUAGUACGCUUUGGAAACUGUUUAACUUGAGUGCAAGAGGGGAGAGUGGAAUUCCAUGUGUAGCGGUGAAAUGCGUAGAUAUAUGGAGGAACACCGGUGGCGAAAGCGGCUCUCUGGUCUGUAACUGACGCUGAGGCUCGAAAGCGUGGGGAGCAAACAGGAUUAGAUACCCUGGUAGUCCACGCCCUAAACGAUGUCAAUUAGCUGUUGGGCAACUUGAUUGCUUAGUAGCGUAGCUAACGCGUGAAAUUGACCGCCUGGGGAGUACGGUCGCAAGAUUAAAACUCAAAGGAAUUGACGGGGACCCGCACAAGCGGUGGAUGAUGUGGAUUAAUUCGAUGCAACGCGAAGAACCUUACCUGGUCUUGACAU